rfam:Rattus norvegicus chromosome 8, whole genome shotgun sequence.
GGGGAUUUAGCUCAGUGGUAGAGCGCUUGCCUAGCAAGCACAAGGCCCUGGCUGGGUUCAGUCCCCA